UUGGCGGACGGGUGAGUAACGCGUGGGUAACCUGCCUUGUACUGGGGGACAACAGUUGGAAACGACUGCUAAUACCGCAUAAGCGCACAGCUUCGCAUGAAGCGGUGUGAAAAACUCCGGUGGUACAAGAUGGACCCGCGUCUGAUUAGCUGGUUGGUGAGGUAACGGCCCACCAAGGCGACGAUCCAUAGCCGACCUGAGAGGGUGACCGGCCACAUUGGGACUGAGACACGGCCCAA
rnacentral:rRNA from 1 species